UGAAAACUAUGAAAACAACUUUACAGACACAGGUGCCGACACUUUGAGUUCAUACAUGCAGUCUAUGACUACAUCUGUUUAAUUCUAAUCUAUUAAAUAAUGUGAUAAAAUUUAAUUUGUUACAAAUAUGUUAAAAACGGUCUUGGUAAAUGGGGAGACAUUUUGUUAGUGUUCAUAUAUGGUUUUUACUUCAGUUAGCAGGAAAACUGUACAGACGGCAUCUUCUUAAUUAGGAUGUAUUUUAAUUUCCAUGCCAUUUCAUAAGGGUUUUAUGCAGAUGAAAUUGGGUUCUGAAGAAAGGACAAAGCAUUCUUUUUUAAAUUAUUUCACUGCUAAGAUGUUUGGUAUAUAAAAUUGUACUUUUUAUGGGUUAUAAAACCAGAAGAAUCUUUUGUGCCAUUCUUAAUCAACAGGGUUUGAUAUGUUGACUCAACCUUAGCAGCUUCAAAUCGUCUGGGAAGAAGGUUUUCCAAAAGCUUUAGGAGUGUGUUCACAUGGAUUUGUUUUAACCAUUAUUCUAGAAGCACAUCUGAGUGGUCAGACACUGAUGUUGGACGAGAAGGUCUGGCUCACAGUCAACGCUUUAAUUUAUCCUAAAGGUAUUAAAGUGUGCUGAAGUUCGGUAUCUAUGAAUGCCAGUCCAUUUCUUCCACAAAGUCCCUCAUCAAGGUCUUUAUGGACAAUUGUUAAUGAUUAGGUCUUCACAGAAUCCACUUCAUGCCUAUCCUACUUUGAAUUAAUUAGAUCAUGGUGCCAAAGUAAUGGCUAGUAGAUCAAAUACUAGAUGUAUUUUGAAUAAAAAAUUCUUAGGUAACAAACAUAUUAACUUGGAAUAAAGAGUAAAUCAAAACCAGAUGCAUCUUGUGUCUAAAAUCAUGUUUCUUUUAACCACGCAAUCUGUAGGAAGGAAGCCAUUGCUGUAAAAGGUAUUUGUGCACAUCAUGUAAUUACAAACACAUGGAUGCAUUAUUUAUUCAUCACACGUCUCCGUUUCCCUGCAUCCUCCCCCGGUCUCCUCAAUGAUCCCCAUAACUGUAGAAAGAUGUGCAUGACGGUUAUAGAACUGCUGAGCAGAUGCACAUAUUUCCACAGCCACCUCAUUAUUGGUAACAUAGUACAUCUAAAUGUGGAAAUUACCAUUCGUCAUGUUUUAGAAGUCCCUGAAGAAUUUCUAAAAAUUGUGUCCAAGUAGAUAUGACCUUCAAAUUUAAACAUGGGAAAAAAAGCAUAGCAAAAUCUACAUAUAGUUUUUAUUUUUAAUAAAUUUCUUUAUUUAACUAUGUUUAUUUAAUAUGGCUCAACUAUACAUAAAAAAAUAUCAAAUAUUAAGAAUAUGUACUUUGCUUUCUCUUGGUGAUGGCAUUUAUUCCGUUAGGCUUCUUGUGAUUAUGUAUAAAAAUAAACAUUUAAAUAACCUGGAUGUGUACAAUGCAUUUAAACCUUAACAUAUUCAAUGUAAUAGUACAAUUUUUAAAAAAGUAAACCAGCUUUAUUACAUAGUCGCCAAUGUGCAAACAUGAAAGAAUGCAUUUCCUGAGUGUGGACCACCCCCAGGCCCGCGAGAUGGAGAAAUGCAUGAUGAAGAUGAGGAGGAGGAAGAAAAGGAGGAGUUUGUAGGAGGAUGGGGUGGGGGUGCCAGCUUUCACUGCUGAGCAGAGACAUCUGGAAGCAUUUACAUCUGCACUAACAGAGUGGCGCAGGCCCAAAAGUUACAUCACUCAAAGAUCUGCACAACCCCCCUCCCUCACCACACAUCCACACAUAUCGGAGUAAAUCCUUAGUUUCAGGAACGAAAUGCACGUGUGGCGGAAAGAGCCGGACAAAGGCAUAAAGUGAACACAGAGUGCGAUCAGAAAGACACUUGUAGAGUUAAAUCCGACUUCCCAAACACCCAGCGGGAGUUGUGAGGACAAGCGCCUACACACUUGUACACACAAUCACCCCCUCCCCUCCGGCCCCCGUAACCCAGUACGAUUUCCUGCAAAUUCCAAAGUCAGAUCCCGGCUGGAACAUUUCAGCUUGACUGCCACGUCAGUUUGCCUACACCAUCCUAGCCCGCUUAUUAUCCAAGCUUUUCCGCAAGAAAGCCGGUGAAAGAAAGAGAAAACGAAGACAAAGAGACAUCUGUUUCAGUUUUUAAUUUGAAUCAGUUCUUUAAUAUUUUUUUAGAUUGCGUUUUUGAUGAAAGAAGACAACGAAGGCUUGAGAGAGCGAGUGUCCUCGUGUAGCGACCUACAGACGCAAUGACCUCUGGGUCCUUCCUCUCAGUCCUUCCCCCCCCACCCAGCCUGCCCAGUGUUCAGACUACCUGUUCCUACAGCUACAGUUGAACAGUAGUCUGCACAUUGGUUAGGCCAGGCUGGGAUGCACACAGCUCCUCACCUCUGAUGACGACAAACCUCCAUAAGGAUAUAUACAGUCUGCAACAUUGCCACCAUUUGCUACAAUUUAACCGAUUUGUACCCGUUUCUGUCACAUUAAAGAAGUCGUUGAAGCA